GAUGAACGCUGGCGGCGUGCCUAAUACAUGCAAGUCGAGCGGACAGAUGAGGAGCUUGCUCCUCUGACGUUAGCGGCGGACGGGUGAGUAACGCGUGGAUAACCUACCUAUAAGACUGGGAUAACUUCGGGAAACCGGAGCUAAUACCGGAUAAUAUAUUGAACCGCAUGGUUCAAUAGUGAAAGACGGUUUUGCUGUCACUUAUAGAUGGAUCCGCGCCGCAUUAGCUAGUUGGUAAGGUAACGGCUUACCAAGGCAACGAUGCGUAGCCGACCUGAGAGGGUGAUCGGCCACACUGGAACUGAGACACGGUCCAGACUCCUACGGGAGGCAGCAGUAGGGAAUCUUCCGCAAUGGGCGAAAGCCUGACGGAGCAACGCCGCGUGAGUGAUGAAGGUCUUCGGAUCGUAAAACUCUGUUAUUAGGGAAGAACAAAUGUGUAAGUAACUAUGCACGUCUUGACGGUACCUAAUCAGAAAGCCACGGCUAACUACGUG
rnacentral:rRNA from 1 species